UCUAUUUAUCAGUUCUUUCUCUAGAGGUGGACGUACACAAGUUAUUUUUCAAAGAAUAUUUCUAUUACUAUAUGUAAAGUUCUCUUGGUUCUGCUCAUUUCACUCUUCAUAAUUUCAUGUAUGUCUUUACAUGUUUUUCCAAAAUUAAUGUGUUUACCAGUUCUUAAAGUGUAAUAGCAUUCCAUCACAAUCAUAUGCCACAAAUUGUUUAGCCAUAAAGAAAGCUUAACUUCAAAAGGGUGUUUAAAUUGACUUCUUCAACUCUCCAUCUAUGACCCAAUGAUGCAGUGACUAUCAUGAGAUUUAGGCAUAUUAAAAAUUAAGCUUUAUGAUGGCAGGGACUAUCCUUUGCCUUUUUUUUUAUUUCCUGUGCUUAGCACAGUGCCGGGCACAUGGUAGAUUCUUAAUAAAUAGUUAUUUAAGUGUACACAGAAAAGCCCCCCAAAUCCAAAGAUAACAGAGAGAAGAUGACACACAUCAUGGCUGAGACCUUUAACACACCAACUGUCCAGAUGAGGGUACCCUUGUAUGCUUCUGGUCAUACUGUUUGUAUGAUGAUGGACUCUGGAUAUGCUAUGGACCACACUGUGCCCAUCUAGGGAAGUUAUGCCCUUCCCUGGAGCAUCCUCUGUUUCAAUCUGGUUGACUGUGACACAGCAAACAGCCUCAAGUAAACCUGAACAAAGAAGGACUACAAAUUGACUCUCAAAGUUGAGAGAGAAUCUAAAUGUGACCUCAGACAGGAACUGGGUUAUGUGGCCCAAGACUUUAAGCAAGAGAUGGUCACUCUUAAAUCUAGCUCUUCUCUGGAAAAAAGUUAGGAGCUCUUAGAUGGUCAGCUCUUAAAUAAUUACCUUUGGCAAUCAGAGGAUCUGGUGCCCAUAGGCUCUCUUCCAAUCAUUUUUCUCCAAGGUAUCAAAUCUGGUGGGAUCCAUGGAACUAUGUAAUAAUGAACAAUGAUGUUGACAUCCAUAAGGAUCUCCAUGACAAUAUCAUGUUGUCUGAUGGUAUCUCCUUGUAGCCAUGCAUUGCUGGGAGAAUUCAGGAGGAGCAUACAACCUUACCCCUGAGCACAAUGAAUUUCAAGAUCAUUGGCCUUCCUGAGAGUGCAAGUUCUCUGUCUAGACUACAGGUUCCAUCCUGACCACUCUAUCCAUCUUCCAAAGGACAUAGAUCAGCAAAUUAAUAUGCUUCUCAACAACAAGGUGAUGGGGAGGUCCUAUGGAGCUGGACUUAAGAAACUCCAUCAAACAUAAAAGCAUCUGGGAGAACCUGCCAAUGAACUGUCAAACUAGGCGAGAGAAGGGGGCUCAGAAAGUACAGUCAGGCAGGUCCAAAAAAUAAUGAUUUAUUGGAUCUCUGUCCUAAUUCCCUGGUCUUCUGUUGCUAGCACUUGCAAAUUAAAAUUAUCUUAUAUUUGCUUUGUAUGUAGUUUACAUAUACUUCUAUGUGUCCAUGUCAUAGCCCUUGACAGAAUAGAAGGUCCUUGAAGUCAUAGACAGUCUAUUUUUUAUUUCUGUAUCCCCAGAUCCUACAACAGUGCUUGGCACAUAAGAGGACCUUAACAAAUGCCGGAUGAUUGAUUAAUUUCCAUCUCUGUGGUCCCUGCCAAAGCCUUUCUAGGUUCCUUUUCCUAAAACACUUUGUAGGUGAUGCAGAAAAGAUGAUUAUUCAAAGAGUUAAAGUCAUGAGUAGAAGUGGCCAACCCAUCUGCCAUGUUGGAACCCUAGAUCAGAGCCUCAUUUGGUUCAUUGUAAUUAUACUCAUAGUGUAAAGUACAGGGAGGUAAAGCAAGAUGAGAAGCUUAUUCAUUUCUUCUACAUUUAUGCUUUCAAGGUAGUUUUGUCUCCACUUUAAGACUACUUUCAAACAUCAAUUUAGAUUCCUCAGUCACAGAAUUGUUAGAAAUUAAUUCAGGGAGCAGCUAGGUGGCUCCGUAGAUUGAGAACUAGGCCUAGAGAUGAUUCAAAACUGGAUUCAAAACUGGCCUCAGAUACUUCCUAGCUGUGUGACCCUGAAUAAGUCCCUUAAGCCCCAUUUCCCAGCCCUUAUUGCUCUAAGAUGGAAGGUCAGGGUUUAAAAAAUAAAUUAUCUUGAAUGUUGAUUGACUGGAGUACUCUUAGUUAUCUCUAUAUUAUAAUUGUUUCUUUGGUUUUUUAAAGAUGUUCCAAGCAAUCAAAGCUGUAAAAAUGAAUGAAUGAAUGAAUGAAUGAAUAUAUGAAGAUAAUGCACUUGUUAAACAUUAAAGGGCUACAAAAAUGCUAGCUAUUAUUAUUUUACAGAUGAGGAAACUGCCCCAGAGAACUUGUGACUUGCCCCCAUAGAAUCAUACAUAAUAAAAUGGUAGAGUAGGAAUUUAAACCAUGGUUCUCUUCAACUCCCUAUAGCACUCUAACAUAAGAGAGCAACUGAUUUAAUACACUCUCUUUUUUACCUAAGAUGAUACUGGGCUUCAGAGAAGAAGUGACUUAUCUAGACUCACACAGCUAUACGUAGCAGGGCUGGGAGGGAAUCUAGACAAUGAGACACACUAGAAGGAGCGCUGGAAUUGCAAUCAGGGAACCUAGAGUUACACAGUUGGUUUUGUGGGAUCACACAUCUAGAGCUGGCAGGGACCAUCUAAUCCAAUAUACUUAUUUUACUGAUGAAGAAACUGAGACUCUGAGAGGAGGAGAGUUUAAGUGACUUGUUCAAGGCCACAUAGCUUCUAAGUCAGGAUUCAAACUCCAACACCAACGUCAAUGUUCCAAUGUGUCAGCACUCAUUCUAUUUUGACAAUGGUGUCUUCUAGCUGUGUAGCCUUGGACAAAUCAUAUAACGUUUCUAGGAUUCGGUUUCCCCCUUCUUAAAAUGGAGAAAAUGAUCAUUGUACUACCUACCUUGGGGCGGUUGUGAGAAAUAUGUGGUAGGCUUGAAAAUGCUACAUAAAUAAAUGUAAGUUGUCAUUAUGAUGGUUUGAUGGAAGCAAGAUACAUUGACUGGUCCUAUUAUGAAGUGUUAAUAUUUGUCAGAUUUCCCUUCCAGCAACAGACCCCAAUUCUCCCCAUAGUGAAUCUACUACUUAACUGCAAGUUAGUGCACAAAAGACAUUUUUGUUCAAAAAAAAAAAAGCCUUCAGGCUUCUCUUGUCAAAGUUAUCAUAUGGCCAGGAGAAAGAGCAAUGACAUGUGAUAAACUAUUCUCUCUAAAGCACAAAACUAGGCAAAAGCCAAAGCAGACAGAAUUGAAAAUGGAGGUAACUUGGGAAAGGGUUGGAUAGACAUUAGAUGAAGGUUCUCUAGAUUGCUCCAGAAUGAGGUGAGAGUUUUCUUGGGGGGAUUAUAGUCUUGCCAGGGUGUAAGCCUUCCAGGCUUUUUGUAAUUCUCUUUUUCUAUAUACUUGUGUGUUCCCAAGUGGCCAACUUAUAACUAAGGAGUAAUUUAAAGACUAGGAACCUCUGCCUCAAAAUGUGUCAUCCUUAUCUGCUUUCUACUGACAUUGCUCAGAAGCGGGAUAUCUAUGACAUGUAUUCUCUAAGAAUGUGGGGAUGGCUAUUAAUACCAAUGCAUCAACUGAAAAUGUUGGGCCAGCCCCUUAACCUCCUGGUGUUUCUGUCAUUACUUUUAUUUAUGAAAUGAAGGGGACCUCAAGCCCAGUGCUUUAGAAAUAAGACAGACAAGGCUAGAAAUCAAGAGACAUGAGUUCCAGUUUUGACUCUUCGGAAACUGGGCAAACAAUUCAAAACCACCAAUCAGAUAUCAAGAAUUUAUUAUUUUUUAAACCCUUACCAUCUGUCAGAAUCAAUUCUAAGAGAGGAUUUUUAUAAUGGCUUGACAAUCAGGGUUACAUGAUUUGCCAAGGGUCACACAGCUAGGAGAGGUCUGAGGACAGAUUUGACAGGAUAUCUAGCAUUUAUAUUAAGCAUUGUGUAUGGAUGGGGGACUUUGAAGGAAGGAACCAAAAUUCAGCUCAUUGGGGAAUCAAUAUAAGGUGACACUUCCUUACUUCCUCCCCUCCCCCAAGUUGAGCUGUUGACCAAUGGAGUCAGUCUGACUAGAAUAAAAGGGUAAGUAAGAUUUUUCCUCAGUCUUCUUUUUUUGUUUGUUUGAAAGCUUCUAUUGAAAUCAAGAAGUCUAUUUUAUUUAGAUAUAAAGGGUUGAAGGGUAAGCAGGACAGAGGAAAAAGGAAAUCCCUAGGUAUUUUCCCUAAACAGACCUUGAGGGUUUGAACCAGGGAGUAUUCUUUUAGACAUAACCUCUGGGUUCCCCUAAGGGAAAAAGGAGUCUUUAUCCUAAAGAUUUGCCUCCAAUUGAGAGAUAAGAUCCUCUGCUGCUCAGGUAAAAGGACUGAGAGAUUUUGUGUAUCUUCACAACCAAAGGUAGUUCUCCCUCCCUGCUCCCAAGAACCCAAGACAAGAAGAACUCUUAGUUUUUCUCCCAAUUGACUCUUGAGUCUGGCUGGAAUUCCAUCCCAUCCCCUGAGGUCCUCUGGGGUUCCAUCUGCUCUUCUUCUGAGGCAUUUAAAAUUCAAUUUUUCAGUGCUUCUGGUCAUUCCCUUGUAUUGUAAAAGAAGAGGAAUGGAGAGGGACUCUCCUCUCUUACUCAUAGAGAGGGAUGAACAGGUUUUAACCCACUGGAUGGAUGUGUUUCUCCAGUGAGAGGUUGAAGGGAGAUGUGGAAAACAAGGAUGAGAGGGAAGUUAAAAAGUCUGAGGAAAGAUGGCUGUGUCUCUCCUUCCUCAAGGUUGGCUGACCUUACAGCUUUGGAUUACUCAGAGAGAAACAGAAGGGAUGUUUCCUUCUCUUCCCAAGGAUAUACCACAAACUAUAUCUUUGGGUUUUGAAUUUGAGCUCAACUGCUGGAAAAGAGGUUGCAUCCCAGACAGUCCUUUCUAGGGCAAGGGUUUCUGAUAUUAGACCCUUCCUUAUGAAUCCAGGGGCAGGCUGGACCCUUGCCUGUCACACAUGAAACAAGAUUUGCUUUGGUCUUGUUCACAAUUCACCCAGCCUCUAUCUUCUCAUGAAACUCCCAACCAAACUCAAACUGAUGUAAACUGAAAUUCAUUUGAAGAGGUGGGGAACAAAAGGGCUGGAUGGAUAAGGCAGAAAAGAUGGAGUGAUGAGAAACCAUAAUAACUAUAAUUUACAGUAGUUGAUAUUCAAAGCUCCUUGGCCAGAAGCUUUGUGCCUCAAGCUGUUUUCCUAAUACCCCAAUUCUUAUCUCUCUACACUAACUUAAACUGAUAUCUCUAGGAUCUAUCCUAGAAAGGUAAAAGGGGGAAGACCCAAAGGAGAGGGCAGAUUGGCUCUGCCACAGAGUCCAACUGACUCCUUGUCAGUCUGGAGUAGCAGGAGACAGGUGAAGGGAGGUUGUGGAAGAUUUAUAGCUGGAGACAAGUAUACAACAAGAAAGAAAUCAGGUUCUUUCUCUGUGCUUUGGCUUCAGAUAUCCACUGUCUGUCCCUCCUUCCAAGACUGGAAGUGAAUUUCCUCAAGAAUUCUCUCAGGUCUCAGUUCUUUUUCCCAGAAUCCCCUUGUUCACUCUCCUCUCAGCUUCCCCCACCAGGCAGGGUCUCUGUUUCCUGCAUUAUAGUAUAUACCAUAUGUCAAGUAUUGUGCUAAAAAUUAGAGAUAGAAAAUGAGCAAAAAUAUAGUCCUAACCCUCAAAAUGUUCCUAGUCUAAUAGGAGAGACAACAUAAAAAUAACUAUAUAAAAUAUAGAUUUUAAAAGAUAGCAAGUAUUGAGUUAUAGAAGGUACUCACUAAGAGGGGAGGGGGUGAAGAGAGUGGAGACAGGGACUAACUUCCUAUAGAAUGUGGGGUUUGAGCUGCCUCGAAUCAAAUAAUCAGAAUUUAUUUUGUAAAUUAGCUUAAUUUUUUUUUUUUGUCAAGAAGGUGUCGAUGGAGUGGAUCCAAGAUGGUAGAAUAGAAACAGCUCAGAUGAAUUAUCUCAAAAUUUCUCCCUAUAAUAACACCUCAAAUUAAACUUUGGAGUGGCAGAACCAACAAAAGGUCAGGGUGAAGCAUUUUUCCCAGCCAAAGAAAGCUUAGAAGGUCAACAAGGAAAAUGUGACCACUGGAGUACAGAUCUGUCUGGAGCCCACAUGUAAAAUGAAAGCAAGAGUGGCUAUAGUAGCAGCUUCUGGAGUUUUGUGCCCAGAUAUGGUGAGGAGUAUUGGGCACUAGUCAGAAGGAAAUCACAAGACACCUUUGGCUGGCAUAGGGUUCAACUGGCACUGAUUGACAACUCUAUUGCCCAUACAUAGUUCUGGGUCUCAGCUACAGAGCGAAGAGAAGUGCUAGGGGUCAUUCACAAAGGAACAAGAGCCCUUGUCACAAUUACAAAGCAAAGAGGAAUGCUACCACUUACAGCUGCAAGGAACCAAGAGCCCUUCCUGAAUAAAGAGUAUAGACCAGGAAAUCAGUGACCUCACUUCUCUCAGGAUCACGCCACCUUUGUAGAUCUGAAAACCUGUGUAUUCCCAGAAUUAGCACUGAAAAUAGUAGCAUGAAAAAGUCUUAAGCUUAGAACAGUGCCUUCCCAUCUGCAGAUGAGCAGAAUACAACUUUAACAUAAAGGUGAAAGCCAAGAAAUUGGAAAAUGAGCAACACACACACACACACACACACACACACACACACACACACAGAACUUAAUCAUAAAAAAAAAAACCCUAUGAUUGUGGCAGGGAAGACAAAAACAUGAACUCAGAAGAAGACAACAAUGUGAAAACAACUAUAAACAAAGCCUCAAAGAAAUUGGCUAAUUCGACCCACCC